rnacentral:rRNA from 1 species
AGCGAACGCUGGCGGCAUGCCUUACACAUGCAAGUCGAACGGUAACAGGUCUUCGGAUGCUGACGAGUGGCGAACGGGUGAGUAAUACAUCGGAACGUGCCUAGUAGUGGGGGAUAACUACUCGAAAGAGUGGCUAAUACCGCAUGAGAUCUACGGACGAAAGCAGGGGAUCGCAAGACCUUGUGCUACUAGAGCGGCCGAGGGCAGAUUAGGUAGUUGGUGGGAUAAAGGCUUACCAAGCCGACGAUCGGUAGCUGGUAUGUGAGGACGAUCAGCCACACUGGGACUGAGACACGGCCCAGACUCCUACGGGAGGCAGCAGUGGGGAAUUUUGGACAAUGGGCGAAAGCCUGAUCCAGCAAUGCCGCGUGCAGGAUGAAGGCCUUCGGGUUGUAAACUGCUUUUGUACGGAACGAAAAGCUCUGGGUUAAUACCCUGGGGUCAUGACGGUACCGUAAGAAUAAGCACCGGCUAACUACGUGCCAGCAGCCGCAGUAAAAC